GACGAACGCUGGCGGCGUGCUUAACACAUGCAAGUCGAACGCUGAAGCACCAGCUUGCUGGUGUGGAUGAGUGGCGAACGGGUGAGUAAUACGUGAGUAACCUGCCCUUGACUCUGGGAUAAGCCCGGGAAACUGGGUCUAAUACUGGAUGCUACAUGUCACCGCAUGGUGGUGUGUGGAAAGGGUUUACUGGUCUUGGAUGGGCUCACGGCCUAUCAGCUUGUUGGUGAGGUAAUGGCUCACCAAGGCGACGACGGGUAGCCGGCCUGAGAGGGUGACCGGCCACACUGGGACUGAGACACGGCCCAGACUCCUACGGGAGGCAGCAGUGGGGAAUAUUGCACAAUGGGCGAAAGCCUGAUGCAGCGACGCCGCGUGAGGGAUGACGGCCUUCGGGUUGUAAACCUCUUUCAGCAGGGAAGAAGCCACAAGUGACGGUACCUGCAGAAGAAGCGCCGGCUAACUACGG
rnacentral:rRNA from 1 species